AUUGAACGCUGGCGGCAGGCCUAACACAUGCAAGUCGAGCGAGCGGCGGACGGGUGAGUAAUGUAUGGGGACUGCCCGAUAGAGGGGGAUAACUACUGUAAACGGUAGCUAAUACCGCAUACUAUCGGAUAACCCAUAUGGGAUUGGCUAGUAGGUGAGGUAAUGGCUCACAUAGGCGACGAUCCCUAGCUGGUCUGAGAGGAUGAUCAGCCACACUGGGACGGAGACACGGCCCGGACUCCGACGGGGGCAGCAGUGGGGAAUAUUGAACAAGGGGCGAAAGCCUGAUGCAGCCAUGCCGCGUGUAUGAAGAAGGCCUUAGGGUGGUAAAGUACUUUCAGUCGGGAGGCGUUACCGACAGAAGAAGCACCGGCAAACUCCGUGCCAGCAGCCGCGGUAAUUC
rnacentral:rRNA from 1 species